rnacentral:lncRNA from 1 species
ACUUUGCCUGCGCCCACCCGGAACCAGCAGUUCUCCAAGCACCCAGCAUCCAGCAAGAUGCACUGUGCACCAACGGAGUCAUGUUCUUCUCUUACUUUAAAGUCUUCAGGGCACUGCCUUGCCCACAGGACCGAUAUGGUUUGAAUCUGUGUCCCCACCCAAAUCUCAUGUGGAAUUGUAAUCUCCAGUGUUGGAGGUGGGGCCUGGUAGAAGGUGAUUUGAUCACGGGGCAGAUUUCUCACAAAUGGCUUAGCACCAUCCCCUUGGUACUAUCCUCACGAUAGUGAGUGAGUCUUGGGAGAUGUGGAUGUUUAACGUGUAGCACCUCCUCCUCCUCUUUUGCUCCUGCUCUGGCCACGUGACAUGCCUGUGCCCCCUUCGCCUUCCGCCAUGAUUGUUAAGUUUCCUGAGGCCUCCCCAGAAGCCAAGCAGACAACAGCAUCAUGCUUCCUG